rnacentral:tmRNA from 1 species
GGGGGCGAUCUGGUUUCGACGGGGAUACGAAAGCAAAAGGAGCGUGCAGAGGUCGCCGGUUGGCCUCUUAAAACAACCGGCAAAAAACAAUAAGUGCCGACAACUACGACGUCGCACUCGCCGCUUAACUGACGGCGACGCUUCACUCCCCGAUGUCUGCUGAGGGAGUCUGAAGCGCCAUUUUAGCGGGCUGGCCGAAUAUCCUGGUCUCUUGGGGCUUCGGCGAGAUCUGACAGAGAAUCGGAAACGGAAAAGCCUGUCCGUGGGCGUCUCCCAACCUAAAUUAAAUCGCGGAACACGCACGUAGCGCCUUGAGUGGCCGGUCUUCGGACGGGGGUUCGAUUCCCCCCGCCUCCACCA